rnacentral:rRNA from 1 species
UACGAGAGGCCCAAACGUUAUUCGGAUUUACUGGGCUUAAAGAGUUCGUAGGCGGCACGGAAAGUGGGGUGUGAAAUCCCUCGGCUUAACCGAGGAACUGCGCUCCAAACUUCCGUGCUAGAGGGGGAUAGAGGUAAGCGGAACUGAUGGUGGAGCGGUGAAAUGCGUUGAUAUCAUCAGGAACACCGGAGGCGAAGGCGGCUUACUGGGUCCUUUCUGACGCUGAGGAACGAAAGCUAGGGGAGCAAACGGG